CCAACGGCUCUUUUAAGAGCCACUCACAACCACUGACAGAGCAACU
rnacentral:ncRNA from 1 species